rnacentral:misc_RNA from 1 species
UGUGGUUUCCUUCAUUGAGGU